GAUGAACGCUGGCGGCGUGCCUAAUACAUGCAAGUCGAGCGAACGGACGAGAAGCUUGCUUCUCUGAUGUUAGCGGCGGACGGGUGAGUAACACGUGGAUACCCUACCUAUAAGACUGGGAUAACUUCGGGAAACCGGCGCUAAUACCGGUUAAUAUUUUGCACCGCAUGGUUCAAAAGUGAAAGACGGUCUUGCUGUCACUUAUAGCUGGAUCCGCGCUGCAUUAGCUAGUUGGUAAGGUAACGGCUUACCAAGGCAACGAUGCAUAGCCGACCUGAGAGGGUGAUCGGCCACACUGGAACGUAGACACGGUCCAGACUCCUACGGGAGGCAGCAGUAGGGAAUCUUCCGCAAUGGGCGAAAGCCUGACGGAGCAACGCCGCGUGAGUGAUGAAGGUCUUCGGAUCGUAAAACUCUGUUAUGAGGGAAGAACAUAUGUGUAAGGAACUGUGCACAUCGUGACGGUACCUAAUCAGAAAGCCACGGCUAACUACGUG
rnacentral:rRNA from 1 species